rnacentral:rRNA from 1 species
CGAACGCUGGCGGCGUGCCUAAUACAUGCAAGUCGAACGCACUCUCGUUUAGAUUGAAGGAGUUUGCUCCUGAUUGAUAAACAUUUGAGUGAGUGGCGGACGGGUGAGUAACACGUUGGUAACCUGCCCUAAAGUGGGGGAUAAAAUUUGGAAACAGAUGCUAAUACCGCAUAAAACCUAACACCGCAUGGUGUAGGGUUGAAAGAUGGUUUCGGCUAUCACUUUAGGAUGGACCCGCGGUGCAUUAGUUAGUUGGUGAGGUAAAGGCUCACCAAGACCGUGAUGCAUAGCCGACCUGAGAGGGUAAUCGGCCACACUGGGACUGAGACACGGCCCAGACUCCUACGGGAGGCAGCAGUAGGGAAUCUUCCACAAUGGACGAAAGUCUGAUGGAGCAACGCCGCGUGAGUGAAGAAGGUUUUCGGAUCGUAAAACUCUGUUGUUGGAGAAGAAUGUAUCUGAUAGUAACUGAUCAGGUAGUGACGGUAUCCAACCAGAAAGCCACGGCUAACUACGUG